ACCUGAAUAGCUCAGCCAGUAGAGCAUCAGAUUUUUAACUUGAGGGCCCAGGGUUCAAGUCCCUGUUUGGGUG